GUCUACAGCCAUGCUACCCAGAACAAGCCCAAUCCCGUCUGAUCUCAGAAGCUAAGCAGGGUCGGGCCUGGUUAGUACUUGGAUGGGAGACCACCUAGGAAGACCAGGUGCUUUAGGCG
rnacentral:rRNA from 1 species